ensembl:lncRNA
AACAACCAAUGAGGCUUGAGGAUUGGGUGUUGAGGGACCACUUGUCACAUUCUCCAAGAUGGGUUUGUGUUAUGAUUAACAAUGCACUUUCUGUCGGCAGAUUGAGCCUGUGGACCGGCAGUCCAACAGGAGUGCAUCCCUCAGACCAUCUGGUGCAUGGACAUCCUGUGCCAGUGUGAUCCGAGAGCGAGUGUCCAGUUGUGGAGACUACAGCACAUCGAGCCUGUGGGCGGACAGAUAUGAGGCGUGACAUGGGGAACGUCAGGCUCACCCCACGAGAAGCAGUGCUUGAUCAACACCACCCUCAGCAAGGAGAUCUGCUGGAAGUGAUGUACUCUCUCUUACACUCUGGGUGCCAACGUUGGGAGCAUGCGGUCUUUGAAAACUCCUCAAGUCCAGCAAUAUGAGUCUGCCAGAGGUCGUCACGCUGGAUGCGGAUGGUGAUGGAGGCUUUGGUGGUCCACACAACCAAGAUGAUGUCCCUUCCAGUGAUGUGGCGUUGCCCUUUGACCUGAUGCAAGUAUACUUGACCACCAGCACCACUGUGGUGCCCACCAGACCAUCCGGUGAGGCACCCAGGAUCCCAGACCCUGUGACCUGGGUUACAGGUCCUCCACUGACUGCACCUGGUUGGUCACGGUUUGCUUCCUCCACUCACAUUACAUAUCUUUUACAGACGAUAUUGUGAACCGCAAUAAUAGCCCGUGUAGCUGCAUGGCUACACUUAUGAGCUCCACAAGGC